rnacentral:rRNA from 1 species
GACGAACGCUGGCGGCGUGCUUAACACAUGCAAGUCGAACGGGAUCCGGGCUUUCGGGUUUGGUGAGAGUGGCGAACGGGUGAGUAACACGUGAGUAACCUGCCCCCUUCUUUGGGAUAACGUCGGGAAAUCGGCGCUAAUACUGGAUAUUCUUGCUGCAUCGCAUGGCGUGGUUUGGAAAGGGUUUCUGGUGGGGGAUGGGCUCGCGGCCUAUCAGCUUGUUGGUGGGGUGAUGGCCUACCAAGGCUUUGACGGGUAGCCGGCCUGAGAGGGUGUCCGGCCACACUGGGACUGAGACACGGCCCAGACUCCUACGGGAGGCAGCAGUGGGGAAUAUUGCACGAUGGGCGCAAGCCUGAUGCAGCGACGCCGCGUGAGGGAUGACGGCCUUCGGGUUGUAAACCUCUUUCAGUAUGGAACAAGGAUCCUUCUUUUGGGGGGUUUGAGGGUACGUGCAGAAGAAGCGCCGGCUAACUACGUG